GACGAACGCUGGCGGCGUGCUUAACACAUGCAAGUCGAACGGAAAGGCCCUGCUUUUGUGGGGUGCUCGAGUGGCGAACGGGUGAGUAACACGUGAGUAACCUGCCCUUGACUUUGGGAUAACUUCAGGAAACUGGGGCUAAUACCGGAUAGGAGCUCCUGCUGCAUGGUGGGGGUUGGAAAGUUUCGGCGGUUGGGGCUGGACUCGCGGCUUAUCAGCUUGUUGGUGGGGUAGUGGCUUACCAAGGCUUUGACGGGUAGCCGGCCUGAGAGGGUGACCGGCCACAUUGGGACUGAGAUACGGCCCAGACUCCUACGGGAGGCAGCAGUGGGAAAUAUUGCACAAUGGGCGGAAGCCUGAUGCAGCAACUCCGCGUGCGGGAUGACGGCCUUCGGGUUGUGAACCGCUUUCGCCUGUGACGAAGCGUGAGUGACGGUAAUGGGUAAAGAAGCACCGGCUAACUACGUG
rnacentral:rRNA from 1 species